rnacentral:rRNA from 1 species
GGAAUUCGCCCUUAGAGUUAGAUCCUGGCUCAAGACGAACGCUGGCGGCGUGCCUAACACAUGCAAGUCGAGCGAAUGAAGUUCCUUCGGGAAUGGAUUUAGCGGCGGACGGGUGAGUAACACGUGGGCAACCUGCCUCAUAGAGGGGAAUAGCCUUCCGAAAGGGAGAUUAAUACCGCAUAAGAUUGUAGUACCGCAUGGUACAGCAAUUAAAGGAGCAAUCCGCUAUGAGAUGGGCCCGCGGCGCAUUAUCUAGUUGGUGAGGUAACGGCUCACCAAAGCGACGAUGCGUAGCCGACCUGAGAGGGGUGAUCGGCCACAUUGGGACUGAGACACGGCCCAGACUCCUACGGGAGGCAGCAGUGGGGAAUAUUGCACAAUGGGGGAAACCCUGAUGCAGCAACGCCGCGUGAGUGAUGACGGCCUUCGGGUUGUAAAGCUCUGUCUUCAGGGACGAUAAUGACGGUACCUGAGGAGGAAGCCACGGCUAACUACGUGCCAGCAGCCGCGGUAAUACGUAGGUGGCGAGCGUUGUCCGGAUUUACUGGGCGUAAAGGGAGCGUAGGCGGAUUUUUAAGUGAGAUGUGAAAUACUCGGGCUUAACCUGAGUGCUGCAUUUCAAACUGGAAGUCUAGAGUGCAGGAGAGGAGAAGGGAAUUCCUAGUGUAGCGGUGAAAUGCGUAGAGAUUAGGAAGAACACCAGUGGCGAAGGCGCUUCUCUGGACUGUAACUGACGCUGAGGCUCGAAAGCGUGGGGAGCAAACA